rnacentral:misc_RNA from 1 species
GAUGAAGAACGCAGUGAAAUGCGAUAAGUAAUGUGAAUUGCAGAGUUCAGUGAAUCAUCGAAUCUUUGAACGCACAUUGCGCCCGUUAGUAUUCUGACGGGCAUGCCUGUCCGAGCGUCAUUUCAACCCUCAAGCACGGCUUGGUGUUGGCGGAUUGCGUGCCCUAGCGGCGCUGCACCCGCCCAAAUACAGUGGCGGUCCCGCUGCGGCUCCCUUUGCGUAGUAACUCACCUCGCACUGGACCGGGCGGCGGCUCGGCGUAAAACCCCAACUCACGAAAUGUUGACCUCGGAUCAGGUAGGAAUACCCGCUGAACUUAAGCAUAUCAAUAAGCGGAGGA